UACGGGGGGGGCAAGCGUUGUUCGGAAUUACUGGGCGUAAAGGGCUCGUAGGCGGCCAACUAAGUCGGAUGUGAAAUCCCCAGGCUCAACCUGGGAACGGCAUCCGAUACUGGAUGGCUUGAAUCCGGGAGAGGGAUGCAGAAUUCCAGGUGUAGCGGUGAAAUGCGUAGAUAUCUGGAGGAACACCGGUGGCGAAGGCGGCGUUCUGGACUGCAACUGACACUGAGGAACGAAAGCCAGGGGAGCAAACGGG
rnacentral:rRNA from 1 species